UAGGGGGUUAACAGAUUGAAAAAGGGGUAUAGAUUGUUGUAUGAGGAAGCUGGCUUGGGCCUAAAGCCCAAGCUCCCAAUAACCAAUCCAGAUCCAUCUUGGCCAUGAAUUCUUCAAAGACCAUCAACGCCACCAGAAACGUCGGAAACUUCAGUACUCGUAACACAUGAAUGGCCCUAAAAUCCGAUGCAACAAACGCGUCCAGAAUCGCGACGAAGCUUCACCUCCGCGAACAAAAUCUAACGCGAACAAACGGGUCACGAUGUGACGAACUCAAUUCGUAUCAGUGGCAAAAAUCGGAUUUCGAAAUUGGAUCACCGAUUUUAAAGCUCGCUUUCCCUCGUCUUCUUGCGUGCGCAAAAUGAAAUAGAGUGAGAUUGAUACUUUCCGAUUCGAUGAUGUUGGUGUAUUCGCCUCUGUGUUAGUCGAUUUGCGCGUGUUUCGCUGCGUUGAGGUGUUGCAAAGAAAAGUGAAAAUGGAGAUGUACAGCGAAUCCAAUAGUCUCUCCCGGUAAUGAACCGAAGCAUGAAGGUAUUUAAAUAUCUUAGAAGCCUCCUCUUGCUUGUUGGAUUCUUCUUCCUUACCGUUUUGCUUCUGUUUCCAUUCUUUUUUCACUUCUUCUCUUUGGAUCCUUCUUGCAUUGUUGUUGAGGGUGAGUGAUGGUUCUGUUAUGGUUUCUUGGCGGAGUUUGUGAAGGUUGAAGUUAUUGAUUGGAGUUGCAGCUCAGAUGCGGUUAGAGAGUUUGUUGUGCAGAGUUCGUCUGCGUUUCAAAGGAAGGAGGAAGAAGACGCCGAGAAGCUGCUUGUGCCGCGGCGGUUGUUCGGAAAGAGGAAGAAGGUGAAGUGAUAGUGAUGAAGAUUCGUGUAACUGUGACAGUUGCAGUGUCGAUUCUGAAGAAAAAUGAAAAAUCUUCCCAAUUUUUGGUGUAGCUGUUGACGUCAUGGCCUUGAGUUGUUUUGGAUGGCGCCGUUUCCGCAUUUCGGUUGCAGCUUGUUUCGCGUUUGGUUGUGGCUGUUGUUGUUUCGCGGUGUUGAAUUUAACGUUUGCGCUUCGUCUUGGUUGUGUGUUAGUCGCAUCUUUCACUUGCCUGUAUUCCACUUCAUAGCGAUUCGUUCCAUCCCAUGCUGCGUUUUUACUUGCACUUUGUCUCAUUGAAUGAGGAUACGACUAUGUCAAUUGAA